rnacentral:rRNA from 1 species
UCGCCCGCCGCGCCCCGCGCCCAUCCCGCCGCCCCCGCCCGCUCCUACGGGAGGCAGCAGUAGGGAAUCUUCCACAAUGGACGCAAGUCUGAUGGAGCAACGCCGCGUGAGUGAAGAAGGGUUUCGGCUCGUAAAGCUCUGUUGGUAGUGAAGAAAGAUAGAGGUAGUAACUGGCCUUUAUUUGACGGUAAUUACCUAGAAAGUCACGGCUAACUACGUGCCAGCAGCCGCGGUAAUACA